CCUACGGGAGGCAGCAGCCGCGGUAAUAUUGGGCAAUGGGCGAAAGCCUGACCCAGCGACGCCGCGUGGGCGACGAAGGCCUUCGGGUUGUAAAGCCCUUUCGUGCGGAAAGAACAGCCCUGAGUUGAAUAUACUCAGGGUUUGACGGUACCGCAGGAAGAAGCACCGGCUAACUCCGUGCCAGCAGCCGCGGUAAU
rnacentral:rRNA from 1 species